GCGUGGCAAAAAAAACACCGAUCGAACCGAGAGUGGUGUGGUUCAUUCUGGAAACCCUUGCCGGUGCCCUCACCUGGUACCCAUCACACACGCCCCGCCCACUUUGCGUCGGCGGCUAAAAGAAAUCCCCCGGCUGCGCACGACCUGCGCCGGCGGUGAGUCGGCUGGAACAUGGGGGAAGCUGGAGUUCCUCCUGGAUGCUGUGGCAGAUUUCCACUUCAGGAGGAGUUCGCCCCAGCCAUGAGCACCCAGAUCCGGUUUCUCUAGCAUUGUUGUCGAACCCCAGAUCAGAAGUUGCCGCCCCGCGGAUUCGAACGCUGGCUCUGGUUGUGGUCAGCAGCUCGGCGGCGAAGUCAAUGGAAGUGCACGAGCUGGGUUUCAGCGACGACCAGACUCUUCCCCGUCGAGGUCUGCGCAGUCUACUGACAGAAUCAACCCUCAGGCACCAGGGUGGACGUAAAGAUUAAAGCUGGGAAGUAUGCCACCGGACCGGACACCAUCCGCUUCGCGAAUGAGCACAAUGGACCAGUCGAUUCGCAAGUACGCGGAGGAGUCAACAAAAAGUGUGAUAAGGCCCGAACUAGGACUGAUAUUUGAUUCAUUGAGUGAAGCAUAUGACUUCUACAACCUGUAUCCAUGGGAGAUUGGCUUUGGCAUUAGAUACGGCAAGAGCCGAUUGAACGCACAGAGGACAAAAUGCAUGCAGGAGAUCGUUUGCAGAUGCUCGUGAACGUACAGGGCAAGUUGGAGGCAGAGAACAGUAGAUCAUGUAGAUGUGAGUGCCCAGCCUUGAUUAGGUUGCGAGCAGUAGACAACAGUUGGUACAUCACAGAGCACAUCGCAAGCGUGAAGAAAGCUAUGUAGAGAAAAGGACGAUGAUCGCAAGUAACUUCAUACUCCAGUUUGUUAGUUAAGAGUCGGCUAUGUUUCAUCCGAACUAGGAAUUUUCUUACCAUUAUUGACUUAUUAACAGGAGAAAAAAUAUAAAUGGUGUUACAGGGUGGAGGUGUGCGGAGAACCAAUUUGGCAAUAGAAUAUCAUGCAAGUAAAAUAUACAUGAGGGCCAUGUUUGAAGAAUUCAGUCGCCUAUUAAUUGAAGCGACAUCAUACAAUGUCACAGAAAAGGAGAAGAUGAGGAAGUAUGUAACCGUUCACAACAAUGCAGCAAAAAGGGAAAAAUGGAGCAGGGUUCAGUAUGAGGUGAACAUAAAUGAAGACCAAACAGAGUACACGUGUGAAUGUGGUCAGUUCAAGCACACUGGAAUGUUGUGCAGCCAUGUUUUGAGGGUCAUGGAGAUACUUCAUAUGGAGGAGAAACCUGCCAAGCAUAUAUUGAAGCGGUGGACCAAAGACACGAGGGACAUACUUCCCCAACAUCUGGUUCAGUACCAGAAAGAUAAUCCAGUUAACAUGUCAUUCACAUGCAGACAUCCAACCCUUUUCCUGAAAGCAAUGGAGGUAGUGAGGCUGGGUGAUUCUAGUGCAGAAGCAUUUGAUCAUUUGAUCACAUAUUUGGUGGACUUGAAGCUCUCUUGGUGAGUGGCACACCUUUCGCGGGGAGAAGGUAUGGUCUGGGUUUUGAGGACAACAUGGGUGAAUUAGCUCCCGGCACAUUACCUGGCAAUGGAGAGAUUGCAUAUGUUGGCGCCGAACGUGUUGAUAAAGUCAACAGCACUGCAAACUCUGGGAGUGUCAAUGCUCUCCAUGGCCUAUCAGCUCCAGAUAAGCAAAGGGGGGUCAGUAAACUGACAAAUAGCAGGGAGAAGCCACCAUACGAGGGUCUGAGUAAGCGAGCCAGAUUCUGCAGCAUAUGUCGGCGUGCGGGGCACAAACGGACCACUUGCGCCGAAAGAGGAGAUGCACCGAAAAAGCCACGGAAGCCCGGGAGAUGUAAGAAGUGUGGUAUGGAAGGCCACCGCCGUACCACGUGCACAAGGUCUAAAAUGAUGUUCCAAGAGUAUGGGCGUUGUUGAAAACUGAAGUCUGAAAUUUAGAUUUGUAAUCUGUACUAAAAUGUCUUCAAAGGAUUUUCUAGUGUGCUUCUAUGAGCAUUGCUCCAUACUUGUUCCUCUAUUUCAUGAGGACUAUGAUGUUUGUUGUAAUAAGAAAUGGUCAGUUUUAAUAUGAUGUUCCUCGACGCUUUUCAGAGUA